GACGAACGCUGGCGGCGCGCUUAACACAUGCAAGUCGAACGGAAAGGCCUGCUUUCCCUUGUGGAUUGCGGGUACUCGAGUGGCGAACGGGUGAGUAACACGUGAGUGAUCUGCCCCCAACUUGGGUAUAAGCCUGGGAAACUGGGUCUAAUUCCCGAUAGGACUGCAGGGUGGUGCCUGUGGUUGAAAACGAUUUUCUAGUGGUUGGGGAUGAGCUCGCGGCCUAUCAGCUUGUUGGUGGGGUAAUGGCCUACCAAGGCGGCGACGGGUAGCCGGCCUGAGAGGGUGGACGGCCACAUUGGGACUGAGAUACGGCCCAGACUCCUACGGGAGGCAGCAGUGGGGAAUAUUGCUCAAUGGGCGGAAGCCUGAUGCAGCGACGCCGCGUGGGGGAUGACGGCCUUCGGGUUGUAAACUCCUUUCGACCGCGAGGAAGCCACCUGGUUGGAAGGGUGGUGACGGUAGUGGUAGAAGAAGCACCGGCUAACUACGUG
rnacentral:rRNA from 1 species